GGGGGUAUAGCUCAAAUGGUUAGAGCGAUCGCCUGUCGAGCGAUAGGUUGCGAGUUCGAUUCUCGUUACUCCCG
rfam:Nostoc sp. PCC 7107, complete genome.